UACGAAGGGAGCUAGCGUUGUUCGGAAUUACUGGGCGUAAAGGGCGCGUAGGCGGGUUUCCAAGUCGGGGGUGAAAGCCCGAGGCUCAACCUCGGAACUGCCUUCGAUACUGCGGGUCUCGAGUCCGGGAGAGGUGAGUGGAAUUCCUAGUGUAGAGGUGAAAUUCGUAGAUAUUAGGAAGAACACCAGUGGCGAAGGCGGCUCACUGGCCCGGUACUGACGCUGAGGCGCGAAAGCGUGGGGAGCAAACAGG
rnacentral:rRNA from 1 species